rnacentral:rRNA from 1 species
AUUGAACGCUGGCGGCAUGCUUUACACAUGCAAGUCGAACGGCAGCGCGGGCUUCGGCCUGGCGGCGAGUGGCGAACGGGUGAGUAAUGCAUCGGAACGUGCCCAGUCGUGGGGGAUAGCCCGGCGAAAGCCGGAUUAAUACCGCAUACGACCUGAGGGUGAAAGCGGGGGACCGAAAGGCCUCGCGCUAUUGGAGCGGCCGAUGUCGGAUUAGCUAGUUGGUGGGGUAAAGGCUUACCAAGGCGACGAUCCGUAGCUGAUCUGAGAGGACGACCAGCCACACUGGGACUGAGACACGGCCCAGACUCCUACGGGAGGCAGCAGUGGGGAAUUUUGGACAAUGGGGGCAACCCUGAUCCAGCCAUGCCGCGUGCGUGAAGAAGGCCUUCGGGUUGUAAACCGCUUUUGUUCGGGAAGAAAUCCUCUGGGCUAAUACCCCGGGGGGAUGACGGUACCGGAAGAAUAAGCACCGGCUAACUACGUG